rnacentral:rRNA from 1 species
GCCAUAAUAUGGAGCACUACAUCCCAUGCGGAGAGCGUCAGUAAAGCUUGGGUCGGGAGAUCCAAAUCCGGGGCUGCAUGACGUAGAAUGCGUUUAAGUAGUCCUGAAGGAUUGCCCUUGGCCUGGAGAAGCUUGAGGCAAGAUUUCCGGGCUGUAUUCUUGACAGGCGGUGUGGAGGCUAAUAGCCUGCACAUGGCCCGAUUCACAGCCAGGAUAUCGAGACUAGUCUUGGAGUCGAUCGCUUUCAACAUUAUGCCCGGGUUGGCUUCAACAGUUGCAAGUUGAUCCAGGGCCGGACGGUCGUUGAGUUCUUCUAAGAACGCAUUGACGUAGUUGAAGAGGUCAAUGCGAGUCAUCUUCUCGACGUCGUACACCAUGGUAACGGGAGUAACCAUGCUAACAUAGGUGGCGCUGUUGGCAUGGGCAGGGGUACUCUCCAGACAGGAAUCGGCUGUCUCCGAGUGGCGGAUCUCAAGGUCAUAGUGCCACCGGGGGCUGUCGGGGUCCAAGUCAUCGUACCACAGGGGACUGUAGUAGUUGGGCUUGGUGAGACUCGAAGCUUGGGCAAUACCUUCCUCGCGACAGUAAUCAUAGGGGAUCGGAGCGACCUCAACAGGGUCCGACCCGUAGCUGGCGAGAAGGGCACGGCGAUUGGUCGCUGUCUUCGCCCACAGAGGAGCCGAAGGAGAAAACGUAGGCACCGUAAUCUCUUCUUCUAGAACAGCCGACAGGGAGUCCUGGUCAGUAUUCGAGCCGGAGUCACUGGCGUCAUCGUCCAGGGAGGGGGGCUCAUCCGCUGACGACAUUGCAUCGUCAGAUUGAUCAGAGGGGUUGCUGAAUGCGUCCUUACCAGAUGCCAUUGCGUCAUCAGGAAGUUGUGAACGAGUCGCAGAAUUCUGCUUGGCCAGUUGGAUAGACUGUUGCAGCGACGAGGUGUAGCCAGCUGGCAAAUCCUGAGAUGGAUCCUCAGCUGGGGUACCCUGGUCUUGAGCACGACGUGGGUCCGAGUCAGCAUCCUUGCGUGCGACUCCAACCCAGUACGAGAGGAACCGUUGGUUCAGAUAAUUGGUAACUGCGGUUAGCUGAAAAGCUAGUGCCGCCAAGCUACCAUCUGUAGGAUUAUGGCUGAACGCCUCUAAGUCAGAAUCCAUGCUGGAAUAGACGAUAAUCACCUUUCCCGAUGUGCCGCGAAUAGCGAUAGGUGUCUUCUGGACACCCAACAUCAUACAAUUGCAACGCACUCCGCUGCCUGUCAAGUACUGGCGGUGGAGAGUAGGCUGAUUUGU